rnacentral:lncRNA from 1 species
GAGCUCAGGAGAAGCCAGGAUUUUGAAUUUUAAGAAAUAGCAUGACACUGGGCGUGGUGGUGCACAUCUGUAAUCCCAGCACUUGGGAGGCUGAGGUAGGAUUGCCUCGAACUGGGCUACACAGCCUUGGACUGAUUGGACAAGGCCACCCACAGCAGGAAGGGCAAUCUGCGGUCCUCAGUUGCCCUCAAGUGUCAGCGCCCUCGACACAUAGGACAGACGCCCAGGCCAUCUAUAGGCAAGCAAGGGAAGGUGCUGGAAGCACUCUCCUCUUCCCACCACACACAGAGAGUCCGAGAAACUUCCCAGCUGGAGGCUAAUAACAGAGGCCAAAAUAGACAGAGUGUGCAAAUAAAUGGCAGGAAAAUUUAAGAUAUAACCAAUGGAAAUGGAGAGGUAUGGCGGGAAAGAAGGUGCGCAGCAGAUCCAUGCGUUGGAUUCCUCACCUUGCUUUUCAUAGCAGGGAAUAACAGUUUCUCCCUGAAGGCGACAAAGCGGGUUCUGCAACUAGAUGGCUUGGGGAGCACCAAGCGGGACAACCUGGAGCUGUCUUGGCCCUCAGAUGCUCUGCUGGGCAGUCACAGGGAGGGGUGAGAUGUCUACUGGUCCUUAAAAACAGGUGUCUCAUA